UACGUAGGGGGCAAGCGUUGUCCGGAUUUAUUGGGCGUAAAGAGCGUGUAGGCGGUCCGGUAAGUCCGAUGUGAAAGUCCAGGGCUCAACCCUGGAAUGCCGGUGGAUACUGCCGGGCUAGAGUCCGGAAGAGGCGAGUGGAAUUCCUGGUGUAGCGGUGAAAUGCGCAGAUAUCAGGAGGAACACCGAUGGCGAAGGCAGCUCGCUGGGACGGUACUGACGCUGAGACGCGAAAGCGUGGGGAGCAAACAGG
rnacentral:rRNA from 1 species